rnacentral:pre_miRNA from 1 species
CAAGUAAAAUUUAUUUUGAGAGUGUUUUUACUGAUGAGAGAGCGAAUGAUAAACCUUAAAUCUUUCUCAAUUUAUAAACAAUUGGGAGAUUCCAAAAAAAAUCAAAUUUAUCAUUCGCGCUCUCAUCAUUAUGAACGCCUUCAAAUCCUGAUUUCAAAUAA